rnacentral:misc_RNA from 1 species
UCUCCGUUGGUGAACCAGCGGAGGGAUCAUUACCGAGUUUACAACUCCCAAACCCCUAUGUGAACGUUACCAAACUGUUGCCUCGGCGGGAAAUUCAUGCCCCGGGCGCGUCGCAGCCCCGGACCAAGGCGCCCGCCGGAGGACCAACCAAAACUCUUUUGUAUGUCCCUCGCGGACUUUUAUAAUUCUGAACCAUCUCGGCGCCCCUAGCGGGCGUUUCGAAAAUGUAUCAAAACUUUCAACAACGGAUCUCUUGGUUCUG